UUUUAGUAGAGACGGGGUUUCACCAUGUUGGCCAGGCUGGUUUCGAACUCCUGACUUCAAGUGAUCCAGCCAUCUCAGCCUCCCAAAGUGCUAGGAUUACAGGUGUGAGCCACCACACCCAGCCCAAAGUCAUUUGCCCAAAGUCAUUUUUUUAGUAGUAGACAGUUCUAAUUUACAUUAGUAAUCUCUUAAUAUACUUAGUAUUUAUUUUUUCUCAAGAGCAAUGAGAGUUAAUUAGAGGAGAUAAUAAUAAAGUUGUUCACGUGGCUGUCUGCUUUGAAAGGGAAUUUCAGAAUUUGGACUGGAGUUUGGAUCUCCCACCUGGUAUUAACUUUGCCAUAAGCAUCACCAGCAGGUGGCAGCAGUUCCCAUGUUCUAAAAAUAUAGUCACUAGUUAAGACAGGUAUAGAGUAUGUUGUUUUGUUACAGAAGUAGAUUUAAUUUCUGGUAUUUAAAUUUUCCUCAUUGUAUUUCAUUAUAGUCUGUUUUAUACUUUAGUAUACAGAAUGGUAUCUAACAAUACUAUCAAGGCAGGAACAGCAGUAUUACCAGAAAUUUUUAAAUACUCAAAAGUGUAUGUGAACCACAGUUGACAUCUUAUGCAAUUGUUACAUAGUAAGAGUGUCACUCCUGAUAGUGGCACUUAACCUUCAACCACCAAAGUAGGGAAAUUAAGUUGUAUAUAAAGCUCCUAAGUAGGACCAAGGAAUUGUAACAUCAUGGUGCCCUCUGAUGCUGGUAGGAGUAGCCAGCCUGCUCCCCAAACCUUAGCUUAACUAAAAAAAUCAGGCCAGACUGAGUGUGGUCAGAAAUCUGGCUAUGGGAGCUUUAGGGGUAUUCUUAACAAAUGUUUAUGGUAAUAAUCAACUUUCAUCACUCAUCGUUUAGACUGUACAGUUUCUCAGGUUGUCUGAAGAUUUACCUCUCCAAGGACUCCCACAUUCCUCUGAGCCAGAGGAUGCUUUGGAGAAGAUUGUGUACAUGGGAAACUCAGGGAGAUUUGACGCCGAAGUUGCUAAGUACAAAGUUAACACAGUCACUUCUUUUCCUUGCUUGGAUCUCUUUUUUUCCCUUCAUUAUAAAAACAAACCAAAAAAGGAAAAACAACUAAACUCACACUAAUACAACAUAAAUACAUGUAAAUUUUAAAAGCGAUUGUCUUACCCUCAGUACCAUUCUACUUUUUGCAACCUAUAGUAUUUCCUAGAAUAACUCACUUAUUUAACAAAUACUGAUGGAAUACCCUGCAAUGGGCCUUACUCUUUUUCAAGGUGGUGAGAAUGUAGCAGUAAAUAAAACAGACAUAAUCUCCCUGCCCAUGUGGAACAAAUUCUGGCAGAAGGAAAGAGACACUAAGUAAAUUAUCUGGUUCAUCAGAAGGAGUGGUCCAGGAGAGGACAAUUUGAUGCUGUAGGUGAGAGUUGGGAGUGUUGCCAGAGCAAUGUCCUCAAGGAGGCAAGAGAGGAUGGGAUCUGGUGUGCAAGCAGAGGGCUCGGCCAAGGAGCAGGUAUGAUGGCAUCGUGGUUGUGUAGGAGAAUGUCCUUAUUCUCAGGAGAUAUGUGCUGAAGGAUUGAGAGAGAAGUGUCAGGAUGUCUGGAAUUUACUUUCACGUGGCUCAGAAAAAAACUUGUGUGUGUGUAGAUAAAGAACAAGAGCCAGAGAAAGGGUCUCACUGUCACCCAGGCUGGAGUACAGUGACACAAUCAUGGCUCACUGCAGCCUCAAUCUACCGGCUCAAGCAAUCCACCUACCUCAGCCUCCCAAGAAGCUGGGACUACAGGAUUCUGCAGGGACAGGCAGCGACUAAACCAACCCAUAAGGUAAGCUGGGUCCUUUGUAUGUGGAAGGGGCAGGAAGGUGCUCUCUCAGCACCAGUACCCCAGAGCCCCCGUGAAGUCCCUUGGCUGAGUAAGCCCGUGUACCUGGCCCCUGUUGCCUACUCUCUCCACCCCUAUCCACGGCACCCUCUCCAUCCAAGAACGCACCAGUGGGGAGCCCCAGGGUAAAGUACUUCUCUGGCCCUGGGUUAAACUGGAUGAUGCGGUUCCUGAUGUAUUUAGCCGCCCACUCGCUGGCCUGAGAAUAGUGCUCCAGGAUGAUGAGCUUCAUCUUGUCCUGCAGUGGAGGAGAGGGGACGACAGAAAGGAAUCAAUGGUAAGGGGCAGAGAAAGAGAUGGAGGUGGUGGGAGAAGCUUCUCUUACCCAGCAACAAUCCCCUUCCCAAGCUGUCUGAGCCAGGAAAAAGGCCUGACUUUCUAUUCACAGAGGAGCUAAGAGGCUGGGCCAGUCGCCUCCACCACCCACAGCCCACCAGGAGGCGCCACUGGGGGCAGAUCUGGGUUCUAAUCUCAGCUCCUUCACUUACCAACUGCAGGACCUCGGUCAAAGGUCCUAAGUUCUCUCUGAGCCGUUUCCUCCCAUGUAAAAAUCGGGACAAUAGUACCUACUUCACAGACUUCACGACGGGUAAUAUGAAAUGAGAGAAUGCAUGUAAACAACUUAGUAUUUACUACGUUGGCUGUUACCAUCCAGAUAGAUGCUCGGCUCAGCCCCGCCUCCCUCAUCCCUGCCCCUACGGGAACGGGAUACCCUACCCCCUCCCCGCCCUCUACCCCACGACUCUUCCUCAAGAAGUAGAGAGGUCAUGGGAUCAUGCUGGGCCACUAGAGCAGGUGGGGCAAUGAGCUCUGCCUGGGGAGCUGUGUGCUCUCUCUGGACUAGCGGGGGGUCUUCCUACUUGCCCGCCUUUGCGAACUCCUUUGGGUCCUCAGUUUCCCCCAAAGCACAAAAGGGAAAAGGUAAUCGCUCCAGAAGGACAUUUUGCUCCCCCAGCACUGCGGUUAGUGGGAGUGUGAAGGAAAGAGGCGAAGGUGGCCCGCGCGGUCGUCGCUGGGGUACAGCGUGUCCCCCACCCCGAUUACCACCCCAUCGUCCCUCUGAUCCCGCCUGGAAAAUGUGGGAGGGCGGCUCCCCGGGGUCCCGACCCCGAGUGCCGUAGGGCUGGGGCAGCCCUCCGCGCUCCGGCCUGCGAGGAAGGUCCCCGCCAGCCCUGCUACCCACUUACACGGACGCCUCCCGCGGCGGCUGCAGCGACUGCGCCGGCGGCCCGGCCCCGCGCGGGUCACGUGACUGCGGGUCACGCGGCGCCGCGUGCGCCGCCCGCCGGGCUGACUCAGCUUGGCCGCAGCUACUGGGACUGACUUUCCGCGGCGGAGAAGUUCCGGCCACUCAGUCCCAGCUCGGCCCCUGGACUCGGCAGGCCCUGGAACAGACCUUAAACACUUUCCCUUGGGAGGCAGGGAUUCGAACCUGGUGUGUGUGUGUGUGUGUGUGCGCGCGCGCGCGUGUGCGCAAGAGGAGGAGACGUGUGUGUGUGUGUGUGUGUGUGCAAGAGGAGGAGACUUGAGGGGUGCCGGGUCGCCCCCAGGAAUACAAGCCCCUGGGGGGCCUGGGGUUUUUAGUACAGGGGUUGAGCUGGGGGCAGGCAAAGCAGAAUCGCUUCCUCAGUCUCCUAGGGUUGGGCCUAGCUCUGCCUUCAGUUUCUUUCUUUGUUUAGAUGCCAUUUAUUUACCCAAGUAUUACAACUUUUGUUGUUUAAAAUACAAUUGGACUUUUUAAUGUCCUUUUUUAAAGAUCAAACUUUGCAGCAUUAUAUAAUAGAGAAAAAGGCAGGCCCCUGGUUUCCCCAACUCCCCACACCAAGAUAACCAUUGCUUAGUUUAGAGUACAUUCUGAAUUGCUCUCUAUGAAUAUGCUUACACUGUUAUUUUACAUAAAUGGGAACACAUACACAUGAGGCUUAUAUAUAUCAAUGCUCAGAUAUUUGAUCUGCAUUAUUUCACUUAAUCCUUAUUAAGCUCCAGUGAAAUAGGUUUGCCAUUACUUUUUUAACAAGUGGAGAAACUGAUGCUUGGAGAGAAAACUUGGCUAGAGGCACAAGUGGUUUCCCUAAGACUUCAAUUCAGGGGGAUCUGUCCAAAUCCAAAAUCCAUGCUUUUUACCGCUAGCGGGCACCGCCUCCCAGCUGGUAUGACUGGAUUUGGGACGCUUCUAUAUCUGAACAAGAGAUCCAUCUUAUUCUUUCCAGUCAACAUUAGUGUUCCAGACUUCUAGGGACACUUGGGAACUUUCCAUGCAGAGGCUGGAGGAAAGACUUGAGUGCUGGUCAUCAGUAACAUCUUCCAUCACGUAGAGUUUUGCAAGAGCUUUGUGCCCAUUAUUUCAUAGAAUCCUGCCCAAUCGUCAGAUAUGAUUACCGCCAUUUUAUUGAUGUGGAAACUGGGGAUCAAAGGAGUACAGAGACUUGUGAUAUGUGACCUCAUAGCCUGACAUCCUGGACUUUGGUCAGUGCUAGGGAGCAGUGGUGAGACCUUCUGAAUCAGCCUAGUUUUCCUCCAGCAGCAAAAGGCCAAAGGAAUCCUGGCUUCAUGCCCACGGGACAAGGCCUUCCUCAGUCAGCUGGGUGGCCACGUUCUGCAAUUCUGCUGAAUCUGCUCACUGUGGACAACCCCAGGCGCUCACCCAGCCCUUGGGCCCAACUGCAGCUCCAGACCAGCUUGCUAGGGGUAGGCUUCAUCUGGUGAGGCCCUGAUGAGACCACAGAUGGUGGAGCUGAUACCUUUACAGUGUGGGGGACUUGCUCUUUGCCUCAGUGUUACUUUGUUUUGUUUUGUUUUCCAAAUCCUGAGAGCCUGUGAAUGGCUCAGUGUUGGUGUAGUUUUUGUUUAUUUUUAAAUUCAGUCAGAAAUCUUUUUUUUUUUUGAGACGGAGUCGCGCUCUGUUGCCCAGGCUGGAGUACAGUGGUGUGAUCUCUGCUCACUGCAACCUCCGCCUCCCGGGUUCAAGCAAUUCUCCUGCCUCAGCCUCCCGGGUAGCUGGGAUUACAGAUGCCCACCACCAUGCCCAGCUAAUUUUUGUACUUUUAAUAGAGACGGGGUUUCACCAUGUUGGCCAGGCUAGUCGCGAACUCCUGACCUCAGGUGAUCCGCCCGCCUUGGCCUCCCAAAGUGCUGGGAUUACAGGCAUGAGCCACCGCCCCCAGCCAGAAAUAUUGUCUCAGCUUGAGGACUGCAGAUGUUUCACAAUGAAGCUCCAACUCCAGUCUCCGAACACGUCUGGUAACAUGGGCCAGGUCUGCAGCAUCUGCAUCCAGACCUGUCCAGGAGGAGUGACUUCUGGUGACUAAGCCCAUUUCCCCUGAGUUACGCCUUCUGCAGGGAACCAGUGCAGUGUCUCUGUGAAGCCUGGAGGCUCUUGGGUCAGCGUGGGGACUAAUCGGAAAGACCUGCGUUUCAAUUCUGGUCUGGCUAAUUUCUGGUUCUUUAGUGAGUAAUUCAAGCAAAUGACUCAACUUCUCCAGGUCUCAUUUUUCUUACCUGAAACAUGAGAAUUGAGUGGAAAUUAAGUAAUACUGCCCUCGUGUGGCUGUUGUGACUAUUAAAUGAAAUAUUAGCAUAGCAUGGCAUUCACAGCCAGCUGUUAUUACUUACCUCUUAUUUCCUCCUAACCCUCCUUACAGCCCACUCUCUAACCAUACUGAAAUGCUCUCUAGCCCUAACCUCCUGUCUCCCUGUACUCCUCCUACUCCACAUCUGUGUUUAAACUAUUACCCACACCUAUCCUCCCAUCCUCUUGUCUUGGAACUAAAGUUGCCAAAUUAAAAGAAUUGUGAGUUUAUCCAUA